GUGAGGAAUAUUGGUCAAUGGGAGAGAUCCUGAACCAGCCAAGCCGCGUGAGGGAAGACGGCCCUAUGGGUUGUAAACCUCUUUUGUCGGAGAACAAAACCCGGGACGUGUCCCGGACUGCGUGUAUCCGAAGAAAAAGCAUCGGCUAACUCCGUGCCAGCAGCCGCGGUAAUACGGAGGAUGCGAGCGUUAUCCGGAUUUAUUGGGUUUAAAGGGUGCGUAGGCGGUCCGUUAAGUCAGCGGUAAAAUUGCGGGGCUCAACCCCGUCGAGCCGUUGAAACUGGCAGACUUGAGUUGGCGAGAAGUACGCGGAAUGCGCGGUGUAGCGGUGAAAUGCAUAGAUAUCGCGCAGAACUCCGAUUGCGAAGGCAGCGUACCGGCGCCAGACUGACGCUGAGGCACGAAAGCGUGGGGAUCGAACAGGAUUAGAAACCCUAGUAGUCC
rnacentral:rRNA from 1 species